AAGGUUGCAGCCUUCCUGCCAGGGGACCUUGCAAAUGAUCUCUGUCCUUUCCAUGGGGCUCUGGCUCCCACACAACCUUCAUCAUUUCCUCCAAACUGUCUGGUCUGAACUUGCAGCUGACCAGGUUCUCCAGCUCACAAGUCUCAGCUGACCCCUGCAGGGUCUUACCUAGAAACUGGCCCUCUUUCCUGCUGCAUUUGCUCCCCCACCCAAUCUUGGAAGCUCAGGCUUCCUGUAACCUUGAUGCCUCCUCCCACUGGAAGUUAGCUGCAUCCUCCUUGGCCAGCAAAUUACUGCACAUUUCCCUUGUAACCUGGUUUCUUCCCGCAGCUCGAACUUCUCCAAACACCAUCCUCUUUGCUGAGCUUGAAUUCCCCAGCCCUCUCUAAUCGUAUCUGCAGCCUACCACACCACCAGAACCAUUGUAGAGGGCAACAGGGAGAAGAUGUUUGAGAACUUACCUGCACAGCAGCAAGAAACAGGCACCGGAGGGGCUGCCUGCAAACUUCCCGGGACUGUCUGUAGACCAGUCCCCUGGCCUUAAAGGGGCAGGGUGCUUUUCACCAUAUAAGGAAGACAUCUUCAUCACCCUACUUUGGAACCUGCUCUGGCAAAAGCAGCUCCUUCUAUAGAUGUGGAGGCUUAAGCAUUCUGGGAAGAAUCUGGAGCCUCAGUUCUAGAGAUCUGUACACAGCAGGCAGCUUAAUAACUGUUGGAGAGGCAGAAGAAUGGCAUUGGGCAAACCAUUGUGUAGUGCAAAGAACCUUUUCUAUGGCACUGACUUCCCUAGCAGACAGAAGUCCUGUGCCAUUAUUCCAAGUACUCAGAGGGCUUCUACACCUAUUUCAGGUUUGGCUUCCUAGAAAGCACUGCUCCUGCUCAUCACAGAGGAAAGGAAAUCACCCCUUCUUACAGACAGAAGGGGUGAGGCUUAAUUAUGUAAGACACAUGACUGGCACACCCUGAACAUGAGUAAAGUGGAGAGGAUAUUAUUUUAGCAGGCAGAGAACCUCCAAGAGACAUAAACACACUAAUUCUCUACCAAGGCUACGUCUACUUCUGAGCUAAAACUCACAGCUGAGAUUGACUGCUCCAUCUUGCAACUGACACAGAUAGAGAAUGAGAGACAGAGGGAGAGACUGAGAGAUGAGACACCACAGCACUGCUCCACUGCAUAUGAAGUUUCCCCCGUGCAGGUGUUCCUAUAUGGUGACUGAGGGUUCAGAUUAGGUCCUCACAAACCAUAAAGUGUGUGCUCCAUAGCCACCAACUUAUAGAUACUACUAUGAUAUCAACCUGACUUCCCUGGAUAGACAACCUCACCUUUGCAGAGCCCUGCUCCACUAGGGAAAGACAGAAAUAGGCUGGGGAUAUGGAUUGAUCUAUCAAUGCCCAUAUCCAGCCAGGAAGCAAUUACAGAAGCCAGACCAUCCACCUACUGCAUCCCAUAAUGAUCCUGAGUCCAUGCUCCCAAAGGGAUCAAGAAUAGGAAAGCUUCUAAUGGAGGGGAUGGGAUGCGAAACUCCUGGUGGUGGGAAUUGUGUGGAAUUGUACCCCUCUUAUCCUAUAAUCUUAUUGAUCAAAAAAAUCAGCCUAGGGUGGUGAAACCUCGGUGACAACAAAGAUAUGAAUUAUGUUGGAAAUUUUCUCUCAUGAUGGAAAGGAGAGGAGACCAUGUGACUUCAAAUGAAUGAAUAAAUAAAAACUUUAAUAAACUUAAGGCAAUGUUUAGAGGAAAACUAUAGGUUUUUUUUUUCUGAUAAAACAUUAACUAUGCAAAUUAAAUUUCCUGGUAAAGACA